rnacentral:rRNA from 1 species
CGGGGUGCAGCAGGCGCGAAAACUUUGCAAUACACGAAAGUGUGACAGGGCUAUCCCGAGUGCCAUCCGCUGAGGAAGGCUUUUACCCAGUCUAGAACGCUGGGGGAAUAAGGAGAGGGCAAGUCUGGUGUCAGCCGCCGCGGUAAUACCAGCUCUCCGAGUGGUGUGGAUGUUUAUUGGGCCUAAAGCAUCCGUAGCUGGCUAAGUUAGUCCCUUGUUAAAUCCACCGAAUUAAUCGUUGGAUUGCGGGGGAUACUGCUUGGCUAGGGGACGAGAGAGGCAGACGGUAUUUCCGGGGUAGGGGUGAAAUCCUAUAAUCCCGGGAAGACCACCAGUGGCGAAGGCCGUCUGCUAGAACGCGCCCGACGGUGAGGGAUGAAAGCUGGGGGAGCGAACCGGAUUAGAUACCCGGGUAGUCCCAGCUGUAAACGAUGCAGGCUAGGUGUUUGGACGGCCACGUGCCGUUCUAGUGCCGCAGGGAAGCUGUUAAGCCUGCCGCCUGGGGAGUACGAUCGCAAGAUUGAAACUUAAAGGAAUUGGCGGGGGAGCAC